UCCGUAGGCGGGCAGCUAAGUCAGUGGUGAAAGUCUGCAGCUCAACUGUAGAAUUGCCAUUGAUACUGGUUGUCUUGAAUUAUUAUGAAGUGGUUAGAAUAUGUAGUGUAGCGGUGAAAUGCAUAGAUAUUACAUAGAAUACCAAUUGCGAAGGCAGAUCACUAAUAAUAUAUUGACGCUGAGGGACGAAAGCGUGGGGAGCGAACAGGAUUAGAUACCCGAGUAGUCC
rnacentral:rRNA from 1 species